UACGAAGGGGGCUAGCGUUGUUCGGAAUUACUGGGCGUAAAGCGUGCGCAGGCGGCUUUGCAAGACAGAUGUGAAAUCCCCGGGCUCAACCUGGGAACUGCAUUUGUGACUGCAAGGCUAGAGUACGGCAGAGGGGGAUGGAAUUCCGCGUGUAGCAGUGAAAUGCGUAGAUAUGCGGAGGAACACCAAUGGCGAAGGCAAUCCCCUGGGCCUGUAUUGACGCUCAUGCACGAAAGCGUGGGGAGCAAACAGG
rnacentral:rRNA from 1 species